UAGGAGGGUAGUCUACAGUAGCAGGAAC
rnacentral:piRNA from 1 species